UACAGAGGUCUCAAGCGUUGUCCGGAAUCAUUGGGCGUAAAGAGCGUGUAGGCGGCCCGGUAAGUCCGCUGUGAAAGUCCAGGGCUCAACCCUGGGAUGCCGGUGGAUACUGUCGGGCUCGAGUCCGGAAGAGGAGUGUGGAAUUCCUGGUGUAGCGGUGAAAUGCGCAGAUAUCAGGAGGAACACCAAUGGCGAAGGCAGCACUCUGGGACGUGACUGACGCUGAGACGCGAAAGCGUGGGGAGCAAACAGG
rnacentral:rRNA from 1 species